rnacentral:rRNA from 1 species
CUGGUUGAUCUGCAGGAGGGCAAGUCUGGUAGUCUGGUUGAUCUGCAGGAGGGCAAGUCUGGUUGAUCCUGCAGGAGGGCAAGUCUGGUUGAUCCUGCAGGAGGGCAAGUCUGGUUGAUCCUGCAGGAGGGCAAGUCUGGUGGAGGGCAAGUCUGGUUGAUCCUGCCAGGAGGGCAAGUCUGGUUGAUCCUGCCAGUAGUCAUAUGCUUGUCUCAAAGAUUAAGCCAUGCAUGUCUAAGUACAUACUUUUGCACGGUGAAACCGCGAAUGGCUCAUUAAAUCAGUUAUGGUUUUUUAGAUCGUUUUUUUUACAUGGAUAACUGUGGUAAUUCUAGAGGUAAUACAUGCAAAAAGCUCCGACCGUAUGGGAAGAGCGCUUUUAUUAGACCAAAACCAAUGGGGUUGCAAGAUCCCUUUGUUUGGUGACUUUGGAUAACUUUGUGCUGAUCGCAUGGCCUAGAGCCGGCGACGUAUUUUUCAAGUGUUUGCCCUAUCAACUUUUGAUGGUAAGCGAUUUGCCUACCAUGGUUGUAACGGGUAACGGGGAAUCAGGGUUUGAUUCCGGAGAGGGAGCCUGAGAAAUGGGUACCACAUUUACGGAAGGCAGCCGGCGCGCAAAUUACCCCCUCCUAGACCGGGGAGGUAGUGACGAAAAAUAACAAUACCGGGCCUUUCUAGGUCUGGCAAUUGGAAUGAGAACAAUGCAAACCCCCUAUCGAGGAUCAAUUGGAGGGCAAGUCUGGUUGAUCCUGCCAGGAGGGCAAGUCUGGUCACCUGGUUGAUCCU